CCAGCCUGCCAGUGAUAAAUUCAACGGCCACGGUACCCUAACCGUGCAAAGGUAGCAUAAUCACUUGUUCUUUAAAUAAGGACUAGUAUCAACGGCAUCACGAGGGUCGCACCGUCUCCUUUCUCUAAUCAGUGAAACUGAUCUUCCCGUGAAGAAGCGGGAAUAAAACUAUAAGACGAGAAGACCCCAUGGAGCUUUAGACUUCCAGCAACCAUAUUAUAUACCCCCCCACAACACAAAGUUAUGCCCACUAGUCUUAGGCUGGGGCGGCCGCGGAGUAAAAAACAACCUCCAUGACGAAAGAACUAAAUUCUUAUCUGCGAAUCACUAAUCUAAGAAUUAGAACACUAACGUACAAUGACCCGACAAACGAUUAACGAACCAAGUUACCCUGGGGAUAACAGCGCAAUCUAUUUCGAGAGCCCAUAUCGACAAAUAGGUUUACGACCUCGAUGUUGGAUCAGGGUACCCCAGUGGUGCAGCCGCUACUAAUGGUU
rnacentral:rRNA from 1 species